rnacentral:rRNA from 1 species
GAUCAUGGCUCAGGAUGAACGCUAGCGGUAGGCUUAACACAUGCAAGUCGAGGGGCAGCAUAAUGGAUAGCAAUAUCUAUGGUGGCGACCGGCGCACGGGUGCGUAACGCGUAUGCAACCUACCUUUAACAGGGGGAUAGCACUGAGAAAUUGGUACUAAUACCCCAUAAUAUCAUAGAAGGCAUCUUUUAUGGUUGAAAAUUCCGAUGGUUAGAGAUGGGCAUGCGUUGUA